UAUAAAGUAGGACGGGACCGGAGCAGUCCGUGAGCUCGGUGCUGGACGGGUCUGGCUGAGCUGUCAUGUAGCGGCUGCCUGGUGCUGAGCGUGUACCUGCAGGCUGCUCGGAGGCGCGUCCUGCGCGGAGAACACGCCCCGGUGGAAGAGGUGGAGGCGCAGAGGAGCAGAGCCGCUCACCUGAACGCAGCGGCCCGAUGCCCCACGACAGGCUCGCACCGCCGGACACCUACCGGAUGAAAUCAGGCCGAGUCCGUCCCCGCAAACUCCGCUUUGUCUCGAGAGGCUUGAUCCGCGUGCGCAGGUCGGAGCACCUGGAGUAAAGCAGAGCAGAGAUCCGCUGACGGGCUCGAGCAACAUGAGCAGGAAGACGCGGCGCUGGAGCUUCCACUUCUUCCUGUGCCUCGGAAUAGUGUAUCUGAAAAUCGGGGGUCUGUCCUCCGUGGUGGCGCUGGGGGCGAGCAUCAUCUGCAAUAAGAUCCCGGGCCUGGCGCCCCGCCAGCGGACGAUCUGUCAGAGCCGCCCCGACGCGAUCAUCGUGAUCGGGGAGGGAGUUCAGAUGGGCAUCAACGAGUGUCAGUUCCAGUUCAGGCACGGACGCUGGAACUGCUCGGCCCUGGGGGAGAGGACCGUGUUCGGCAAAGAGCUCAAAGUGGGCAGCAAGGAGGCGGCGUUCACCUACGCCGUCAUCGCCGCCGGCGUCGCCCACGCCGUCACCGCCGCCUGCACGCGGGGCAGCCUGAGCGGCUGCGGCUGCGACAAGGACAAGCAGGGCUUCUACAACAAGGAGGAGGGCUGGAAGUGGGGCGGCUGCUCGGCGGACGUUCACUACGGCCUCGGCUUCUCCAAGAUGUUCGUGGACGCGCGGGAAAUCAAGCAGAAUGCCAGGACUCUCAUGAAUCUGCAUAACAAUGAAGUGGGACGCAAGGUUCUGGAGAAAGGCAUGCGUCUGGAGUGCAAGUGUCACGGUGUUUCUGGGUCGUGCACCACCAGAACCUGCUGGACCACGCUGCCCAAGUUCCGCCAGCUGGGUUUCCUCCUCAAGGACAAGUACCACCAGGCGGUCCACGUGGAGCCGGUGCAGGCCAGUCGCAACAAGCGGCCGGCCUUCCUGAAGAUCAAGAAGCCGCAGUCGUACCGGAAGCCCGUGGACACAGAGCUGGUCUUCAUCGAGCGGUCGCCCAACUACUGCGAGGCCGACCCGCUGAGCGGCAGCGUGGGCACGCAGGGCCGCCUGUGCAACAAGACGGCGCUGCAGCCCAACAGCUGCGACCUGAUGUGCUGCGGCCGCGGCUACAACACGCACCAGUACUCGCGCGUGUGGCAGUGCAACUGCAAGUUCCUGUGGUGCUGCUCCGUCAAGUGCAACACGUGCAGCGAGAGGACAGAGGUGUACACGUGCAAAUAGGCGGAUUUAAGAAGACGGCCGGAAGUGACGGGGCCACAGGAACCCGUCCUGGACUUUGGCUCCGCAGGUUCAGUGCUGCUUUGGGGGCAGAUCAGAUGAAGCAGGGCCGUGUUGUCCCUCUCCUCCCUCUGCCGUGAGGAGCUGCCAGUUGAUGGAUCGCUCUGACAUCUGCUUCAUUCACUGCACAACAACGUUGCUACAACAACCACGCUGUGGCCCCAAAAAUGCUCCUGGUCCCAUCGAGAAGCCAGACCGGCCAUUAACAAAACGGGAACCGUGCAAAGCCCACAUCAAGUUUGGAUGCUGCCUGUUUCAUGGAAGUGGCCAAUGGAAAGAAAGCGGGGAGGGGGACUUAACAAUUGCAAGGGGAUGAUGUCAAGGAGGAUUUCAAUCCGAGCUAUAGAAGUGGUCUUAAGUCCCGGAAUAAUUGACACAAAACAUUCCUCAGCUAAACUUUGCCUCAAUAGUGAUGCUUUCAAAAGGCAGCUGGUCAAAUAGUCUGGAUAGAGCAGCACCAAGACUCUGUCAGAGCUCAGCAGCAUUCUUUCAGAGAGCUGGUUCGUUACAUGCUCAGUUUUUUUUCAUAUCCCCUACGAAUGUGGCUCCUAGGAAUGUCAUUCAAUAUUAAACACAGGUGUUAACCUAUUUAUUUUAUUAUGAAUUAAAUCAGAAAAAGAGAGGACGUUCUGUUUCUAAUGAUAAAAGACCUAUUCUUUAACUGAAGGUUCAAUGUAACUACCAACUCUGUUUUCAGUGGAGGUGGGGAGCUGUUGACCUCAACUGGGGGUGUUAUCAGACGGUGGAAGGAGUACUUUGAGGAUCUCCUCAUCCCCUUCAACAUGCCUUCUGCUGUGGAAGCAGAGGCAGGGGACUCAGAGGCGGACUCGCCCAUCACCCAGGCUGAGGUCACGAGGUAGCUAGUAAGCUCCUUGGUGGCAGAGCAGCGGGGGUGGAUGAGAUUCGUCCUGAGUACCUCAAGUCUCUGGAUGUUGUGGGGCUGUCUUGGGUGACACGCCUCUGCAACAUCGCGUGGACGAGGGGGACAGUUCCUCUGGACUGGACAACCGGGGUGGUUGUCCCUCUUCACAAGAAGGGGGACAGGAGAGUGUGUUCCAACUAUAGGGGGAUCACACUUCUCAGCCUCCCUGGGAAAGUCUAUGCCAGGGAACUGGAGAGGAGGAUUCGGCCGAUAGUCGAACCUCGGAUACAGGAGGAACAAUGUGGUUUUCGGCCUGGUCGUGGAACGCUGAACCAGCUUUAUACCCUCAGCAGGGUGCUUGAGGGUUUGUGGGAGUUUGCCCAACCAGUCUACAUGUGCAUUGUGGAUCUGGAGAAGGCAUUCAACCGCGUCCCUCGUGACAUCCUGUGGGGGGUGCUCCGAGAGUACGUAGUCCAGGGCUCUUUGCUAAGGGCUGUUCGGUCUCUGUACAACCGGAGCAGGGGCUUGGUAUUGCCAUGGCAUUGGCAGCAAUAAGUCAGACCUGUUCCCGGUGCAUGUUGGACUUCGGCAGGGCUGCCCUUUGUCACCGGUUCUGUUCAUUAUUUUGAUGGACAGAAUUUCUAGGCGCAGCCAGGGGCCGGAGGGGGUCUGGUUUGGGGACCACAGGAUAGCAUCUCUGCUUUUUGCAGAUGAUGUUGUCCUGUUGGCUUCAUCAGGCCAGGACCUCCAGCGUGCGCUGGUGCGGUUUGCAGCUGAGUGUGAAGCGGCUGGGAUGAGAGUCAGUACCUCCAAAUCUGAGGCCAUGGUUCUCGACCGGAAAAAGGUGGUUUGCUCCUGCCCCAAGUGGAGGAGUUUAAGUAUCUUGGGGUCUUGUUCACGAGUGAGGGAAGGAAGGAGCGUGAGUUUGACAGACUGAUCGGUGCGGCGGCUGCAGUAAUGCGGUCGGUGUAUCGGUCCAUCAUGGUGAAGAGGGAGCUGAGCCGAAAGGCAAAGCUCUCAAUUUACCGGUCAAUCUACGUUCCUACCCUCACCUAUGGUCAUGAGCUUUGGGUCAUGACCGAAAGGGCAAGGUCACGGAUACAAGCGGCUGAAAUGAGCUUCCUCCGCAGGGUGGCUGGGCGCUCCCUUAGAGAGAAGGUGAGGAGCUCUAUUACCCUGGAGGAGCUUGGAGUAGAGUUGCUGCUCCUCCACAUCGAGAGGAGCCAGUUGAGGAGGCUCGGGCAUCUGGUUCGGAUGCCUCCUGGACGCCUCCCUGGGGAGGUGUUCCGGGCAUGUCCCACCGGUAGGAGGCCCAGAGGAAGACCCAGGACUCGCUGGAGAGUCUCUGUGGCCUUGGGGUCCCACCGGAAGAGCUGGAGGAAGUGUCCAGGGAGAGGGAAGUCUGGAACUCUCUGCUCAGACUGCUGCCCCCGCGACCCGGCCCCGGAUAAGUGGAUGAAAAUGGAUGGAUGGAUGGAUGGAUGGAUGGAUGGAUGGAUGGAUGGAUGGAUGGAUGGGUUCAAUGUACUGUUCCCAUGUUUAUAUUGUAAAUUUUCACUUAUUUUUAAGCUGUGCAAUUAACAUUAACAAAGCACUCAUUUGAGUCAGCACUGGUGGCUGGUCCCAGUAUCAACAAUGGUGGCUGGUCCCAGCAUCAGCACUGGUGGCGAAUCCCAGUAUUGACGGCGGUGGCUGGUCCCAGUAUCGACGCUGGUGGCUGGUCCCAGCAUCAGCACUGGUGGCUGGCCCUAGUAUCAAUGCUGAUGGCUGGUCCCAGUAUCAAUGCUGGUGGCUGGUCCCAGUAUCAGCACUGGUGGCUGGUCCCAGUAUCAUCGCUGGUGGCUGGUCCCAGUAUCAUCGCUGGUGGCUGGUCCCAGUAUCGUCGCUGGUGGCUGGUCCCAGUAUCAUUGCUGUUGGCUGGUCCCAGUAUCAUCGCUGGGGGCUGGUCCCAGCAUCAGCACUGGUGGCUGAUCCCAGUAUUGACGGCGGUGGCUGGUCCCAAUAUUAAUGCUGGUGGCUGGUCCCAGUAUCAGCACUGGUGGCUGGCCCUAGUAUCAAUGCUGAUGGCGGGUCCCAGUAUCAAUGCUGGUGGCUGGUCCCAGUAUCAGCGCUGGUGGCUGGUCCCAGUAUCAGCGCCGGUGGCUGCUCCCAGUAUCAAUGCUGGUGGCUGGUCCCAGUAUCAGCACUGGUGGCUGGUCCCAGUAUCAGCACUGGUGGCUAGUCCCAGUAUCAACACUGGUGGCUGGUCCCAGUAUCAACACUGAUGGCUGGUCCCAGUGUCGACGCUGGUGGCUGGUCCCAGUAUCAGCACUGGUGGCUGGUCCCAGUAUCAGCACUGGUGGCUAGUCCCAGUAUCAGCACUGGUGGCUGGUCCCAGUAUCAACACUGAUGGCUGGUCCCAGUGUCGACGCUGGUGGCUGGUCCCAGUAUCGACGGCGGUGGCUGGUCCCAGUAUCGACGGCGGUGGCUGGUCCCAGUAUCAUUGCUGUUGGCUGGUCCCAGUAUCAUCGCUGGGGGCUGGUCCCAGCAUCAGCACUGGUGGCUGAUCCCAGUAUUGACGGCGGUGGCUGGUCCCAAUAUUAAUGCUGGUGGCUGGUCCCAGUAUCAGCACUGGUGGCUGGCCCUAGUAUCAAUGCUGAUGGCGGGUCCCAGUAUCAAUGCUGGUGGCUGGUCCCAGUAUCAGCGCUGGUGGCUGGUCCCAGUAUCAGCGCCGGUGGCUGCUCCCAGUAUCAAUGCUGGUGGCUGGUCCCAGUAUCAGCACUGGUGGCUGGUCCCAGUAUCAGCACUGGUGGCUAGUCCCAGUAUCAACACUGGUGGCUGGUCCCAGUAUCAACACUGAUGGCUGGUCCCAGUGUCGACGCUGGUGGCUGGUCCCAGUAUCAGCACUGGUGGCUGGUCCCAGUAUCAGCACUGGUGGCUAGUCCCAGUAUCAGCACUGGUGGCUGGUCCCAGUAUCAACACUGAUGGCUGGUCCCAGUGUCGACGCUGGUGGCUGGUCCCAGUAUCGACGGCGGUGGCUGGUCCCAGUAUCAGCGCUGGUGGUGGGACCCAGUAUCAAUGAUCCACGUCUGUUAUCAGUCUUUUUGUAGUUUCAUUCAUUAAAUGUGAAUAGUUUUUUUCCCCAAAAUACUUACAAUGUCACAGGAAAUCGUUACCUAAGAAGACAAAAUGAAUGCUGAAUUGACUAAACACACUUGUUCUUAAA